rnacentral:lncRNA from 1 species
UUUUUUGUAUUUUUAGGGCCACACCUGCAACAUAUGGAGGUUCUCAGGCUAGGGGGUCUAAUUGGAGCUGUAGCUGCCAGCCACAGCCACACCAGAGCCAAGCCAUGUCUGCAACCUACACCACAGCUCAUGUCAAUGCUGGAUUCUUAACUCACUGAGCAAGGCCAGGGAUUGAACCUGCGUCCUCAUGGAUGUUAGUCUGAUUCGUUUCCACUGAGCCAUGACAGGAACUCCUUUUCAAUGAGGUCUGCCCCAUUGGGCUCCCCCAGGGCAAGGGCUGUGUUUGUCUUUAGUUUUAUUCGCAACACCUAGCACAUGUCUGGCAUAUGACUGAUUGUUCAACAAAAACUAUUUAUAAUUUACAUUUGAAUUGGAAUUGGAACUCUAAUCUCUAAAAUUAAAGAAGAAAUAAUGUAUCUUGAAAUUUAGCAUUUGAGAAAAACAGAUUUAAUGAGUUAAAAAUUUCUGAAGAUUAUACAGAGGGAGCAGAUGACAGAGGGACACAUAGGUAGAUGCAGGUUAUUAAUAAUGUUAUAGUUCUUGGGUUGUAUGGUAGGUUUAUGGUUGCUUAUAUUAUGCUUACAUAAUUAAUAAAUAGUAUAGAAUUCUGUAUGCAUUAACUAUGUUGUACUCAAUGUAUUGAAUAUAAAAAUAAUAAAGGAAAAAACGGAAUAAUAAGAAGAAAAGAUUUCUGAAGAUUUCAAAAUUGACAUAUAUAGAAAGAAAUUUUUGUUUCAUGUUUGCUUUUCAGGGCCAUACCUGAGGUAUAUGGAAAUUUGGGGGCUAGGAGUUGAACUGGAGCUACAGCUUCCAGCCCAUACCACAGUCACAACAACGCCACAUCUGAGCUGUGUCUGUGACUUAUACCACUGUUCAUGGCCACAACAGAGCCUUAACCCACUGAGCCAGGCCAGGGAUUGAACUGUGUCCUCAUGGAUACUAGUUGGGUUCUUAAGCCGUUGAGCCACAAUGAGAUUUCUAGAGAGAAAUUUUAUUCAAGCAUAACAUACAGAAAAGUGCCCAAGUCAGUGUACAGCUUAAUGAGUGUUUAUGUAACCAGCUCCGAAUCAAACAGAACAUUCCCAGAAAGCCCUCUUGUGUCACCUAACAGUGGCUUCCAUGUUUAUUCAAAAUUAAUUUUAAAAAAUCUGAGGACACUUCAUUGUUUGUGGACAUUAACAGCAUGGAGUAGGAAUGUGUGGUGUUGGGCAGCUUAAGCUCUCUGAGCUUCAGUUGCCUCACUUGGAAAAGUGUGAUAAUAACAGUUUCUCAGUAGACUGUGGUGUAGGUUGCAGACAUGGCUCGGAUCUGGCAUUGCUGUGGCUCUGGCCUAGGCCGGCAGCUGUAGCUCCGAUUAGACCCCUAACCUGGGGACCUCCAUAUGCUGUGGGUGCAGCCCUAAAAAGACAAAAAGACAAAAAUAAAUAAAUAAAAUAGUUUCUCAAUAGCACUGUUUCUAGAAUAUACCAAUAAAUGUUGGAGACUGAAUUAAUCACAGUCCAUCCAGAAAUUAGGAACCACUCUAAGUAUUUCAAACGAAGGGAAAAAAACAAAGGGAACUUGGGUUGGAGAACUAAGAAGCAGAACAAUCUGGUGAGACAACCUAGAGGUCCCUAAUGAGAUCAAGUGGCUACCAUUCUUCAUGCUUAAGGACCAAGUGGAAAAGUUAGUCUUCUCAGAGCCCAGACGCCAGGCUGUCAAGGGAAUAAGGACCACAGUGGGGAUCACCAGACAGAUGCUGGAACCCCUGAGAGAAGGGCUGUCCAGCUGCUAAUGGAAGGAUGGAAUCAUAGCCACUGUAAGAAAUGAUGUCUCAAGAAAUAGGGUGGCUGAGAGGGGGUGGGUGGAGAUAAACCCUGGCUUAUCCCCUCUUUCUACUGUCCAGUCCAAUGCCAGUGCUUCUCAUUGGCUAAACCUAUCUGGAAGCCAGAGACCAAGGAGCCUGGGAAAAGCAUUCACUGGCAUUCAGAGCAGGGCAAACAAGAGGAAAUAGUUGAUCUAUAGACAUUAAUUUGGUUGUUGUUGUUGUUAUUUUCUAAUUUCAAAAUGUAUACGUUCCUUAUUCUAAAGGCAUGCAGAAGUUCCCAGGUCAGGGAUCAAACCCCUGUCACAACAGUGACAAUGCUGGAUCCUUAAGCCACUGUACCACAAGAGAACCUCACACUUUCUUUAUUCUUGCUAACAGUGUUUCAUGCACUUCCCUUACAACACCCCAGGUAAGGAUCUGAUAUUGUCACUGCUGCGGCAUGGGUUCAGUCCCUGGCCCAGGAACUUCCACAUGCUGUGGGCAUGGCUGAAAAAAAAAAAAAGUGUUUCAUUAGCAUUAAUCUUACAUUUAUCAAAUAAAUACUAGAAUUUCUUUUGGGCUCCUCAAGUUGUAUUCCAGUUGUCAUUGCUGUGUAACAAACCACUCCAACACUUAGUGACUCAAAAUAGCAAUAAUUGUUAAUUUGCUCCAAGUAUACAAUUUGAGCAGGGCUUUGGAGGAGCAUCUGUCUCUGUACCAAAACACUUGCCUACCUCUAUAUCACCAGGUCUAAU